CUCACUAUCACCACAAUUGAGGCCACUAUAUUAGAAUAUAUCAUAGGGUUUUAAUUUUUUUCAACCAAAAGUUCAUGAAUGUAAGAGUUUUAAACUUGAUGAUUAGUUUACAAUGUUAACAGAGACAUUUGAUAGUUAUGCAAUUGGUGACUCCAAUUGAAUUUUCUCCUUUUAUAAGCCUAGCUGAAAUUUAUAUAUAUCUUAUCUCUUACUUUUCUGCUUUAAUAAUGAAAUUCAAUUUGUGACCCUUAUUCUCCUAAAUGCGAUUGAUGAUGAUUGGGGAUAAAAUAUAAAAGGUAGAAAAUGAGAAAUUAAAAAGAGAAAGAUAGCAGGAACAUCUUCCAAAAAUGAAAACAAUCAUGAUAAAGGGUUAUCCAUAGAGUAUAAGGACCUAGAAAAAAGGUCUAGAGUCAAUCUUCUACAAGAAGAGAUGGUUAAGAGAAUUAAGGAUGGACUACUCAUCAAAGACAACGAAGAAGAAAAUCACAAGGAGCUGAAUUGGAGCACGUUAAAGAUUGUUGAACAAUAUGCUUGGGCUUAGCGCGAGUUGUCUAGCUUAGCGCGCACUGUUGAGCUUAGCAUGGGCUGUCUGACUUAGCCCAAUUCCAAUCCGAGAAGAAAUUGAGCUUAGCGCGAGCUGUCAGUUUAGUCCACACCUUUAGCGUGAAUUUACGAAAACUCCUAAUUUUAGUUUAUUUGUGUAAUUGGCUUGCGCAUGAUGUAAAUAGGCCUUCUUAGAGGCUUAGUUAUCUUCUUAAGUCUAGUUCUAUAAAUAUUUAGAAACUCUUAAUUGUAAAAACUUUUGAUAUAAUUGCAAUUAAGCUUAUACUUAAAGAGAGCUUAGCCUCUUCUUUGGUUUUUGAUUGAAAACCAAAUUGAUUCUUAUCAAAGAAGCUAUUCCUUUGUGGCAAAUCCUCCUUCGGCUUAUCAACUCACCGUGGAAUGUGGUGUCAUUUUGUUCAUCUUCUUCAUCAUAUCCAUAUUUUCUGUUUUUCUGUUCUUGAGUUCUUAGAAGGUCAUACAAUGGUGAUUCUUGAAUUUGCAUUCGAAACAAUCCGAACCAAGCGUCCAUGGCUUGGAUUGCAUCAAAUCAUAAAGCCCCCUUUUACGGUUCGUGAUCCAUUAAGUAAGAGUCAACCAUUUAGUUCAUGAUGUGUUGACAUGUGAGAGAGGAAAGAAUUUUUUUAAAAAUGACAUUUAAUUACUAUAAUGACCCUUAAUGAAUGAAUUAAAUUAAAAGAGAUGACUUGGUUUUUUGUUCUAAGAUUUUGGUGUAGGUUCCUAACGUGCGACCCUAUGGUUUUCAUAAUGUUUAAUUAAGUGAUUUUAGUUAAAUUAUAAGAAAAAUUAAAUUAAAUUUAAGUGUCCAUAAUUAAUUAAUUAAUUUAUGAGAUGAUGGUUUGUUAUGUUUAUGCUUAUGUAUAUGUCAUAUUACAUGUGUUUUUAUGAGAUUUAAUUUAGAGUAUUUGAACUUAAGUGGAUGGACCUUAAGUCAUGAAAAACAUGUGAGUGGGUUUAGUGAAGUAUAGGGUGUGAAGAAAAGGAAGUGAGAGAGUCAUAAAUCCAUUGUAAAUCUAAACCAAACUCUAGACACUCUCAUUUUGCUCUCUUUUUCCUCCCUAAGCAAAACCCUCCAUUAGAGAGCUUGAUACUUUUAUCUCCCUUGCUCAAAGGACCUUAUUGUUGUGCUUCUUUCAAGUUGUGGGCUGAUUUCAGUGAUAAGGAACCUUCAUCUUUCAACUCUUAUCUUCCAUUUUUGUUUUCCUUUGAUGAGCAUCUUUGGGAGCUCAUAAAAAUGUUCACAUGAGGUUUUGGUGUUGAGUCUACUUGUUUUUAGGGUUUGCGUGUUGUUGCUUGGUGUGUUUGUGUUGUUGUUAGGGUGGAGGAAAGUCCUCUUCUUGGACCCAAAAUCCUCUUCUUUUCACUUGCUUCUCAAAGUUAAAUCCUUGGUUAGUAGAGAUAAGGGAUGUUUUACUUUGAUUGAAUGUUUUGUUGGAGUAGUUGAUGCUUGAAAUGUUGUUUUUGAGUGUGGAAUGAUUUUAUGUAUGAUAUAUGAUGUCUAAUCGGAAUUAGUUUGAUUUAAAAGGUCUUAUUCAAGAAAUUCAAAGUUCUACAAAUGCUUGAGCUUAAGCCAAGAGUGAAUGUCUUCAAAGAAUAUGGUUGGUUGGAUUCCAGGCUUAAACCACCACAAGAAAUUAAGUAAAUUGCAACACUUAAUUUGCAGCAGUUCUUUUAAAAUUGUCAUCAGUGUUUGUUCGCGGCAGUUUGAUGAAACAAUUACAAUUUUAAGGCCAAUUAUGUUUUGAACCGCCGCAACUAAUAGCAUUUACAUGCUCUUUGAGUUUAUUUUGUGAAACAUUUUAUCUCAUGAGGCUUACCAAUUCAAAAUGUGUUAUGUUUGUUAUUCUACUUUAGGACUCAGGAUCACCGUUGGAUGUAGGGCUUCUUGAGCACUUUAGUUCCCAUGGUGGGUGUGCCGCUGGCCACUUUGAUCUCUUUCUCAACUUGUAAAAUUUUUUCAUCUUCUUUCUUCUUCCAACCCUGAGCCACCACCAACACUCCUUACAAGAACCCCUCAAGCAUUUUGGACGUUCAUCAUCAUGCUAUGUUGUUACAUUCUAGAAUUGUGGGUUGUUGUCAUGUGCGGGUAAGAGUAGGUUUGCUAGGUGUUCUGCCAUAAUUAAGAUGCAUAUUCACAAUGAGUAUGCACUAAUUCAUUAUAAGAUUUUGUUGAUGUUACCUAAUUUCAGCCUUUAAUUCAAUUUUAGGAUUCUAUCCCAUAUUCACAAUUACGGGUUAGAGUAGGUCUGUUAGAAUUCUCUAUUUUCAUAAAUUAACUUAAGUGGAAGAAUUGUAUUACUACCUGGUUUUAGCUUUGGACAAGCUUUUCAUUA